rnacentral:rRNA from 1 species
AUUGAACGCUGGCGGCAGGCCUAACACAUGCAAGUCGAACGAGUGGCGGACGGGUGAGUAAUGUCUGGGAACUGCCUGAUGGAGGGGGAUAACUACUGGAAACGGUAGCUAAUACCGCAUACUAUCGGAUAACCCAUAUGGGAUUAGCUAGUAGGUGAGGUAAUGGCUCACCUAGGCGACGAUCCCUAGCUGGUCUGAGAGGAUGAUCAGCCACACUGGGACUGAGACACGGCCAAGACUCCUACGGAGGCAGCAGUGGGGAAUAUUGCACAAUGGGCGCAAGCCUGAUGCAGCCAUGCCGCGUGUAUGAAGAAGGCCUUCGGGUUGUAAAGUACUUUUGGCAGAGAAGCGGUAUCUGCAGAAUAAGCACCGGCUAACUACGUGCCAGCAGCCGCGGUAAUUC